AGUGAACGCUGGCGGUAGGCCUAACACAUGCAAGUCGAACGGCAGCACAGUAAGAGCUUGCUCUUACGGGUGGCGAGUGGCGGACGGGUGAGGAAUACAUCGGAAUCUACUUUUUCGUGGGGGAUAACGUAGGGAAACUUACGCUAAUACCGCAUACGACCUACGGGUUAAAGCAGGGAAUCUUCGGACCUUGAGCGAUUGAAUGAGCCGAUGUCGGAUUAGCUAGUUGGCGGGGGAAAGGCCCACCAACGCGACGAUCCGUAGCUGGUCUGAGAGGAUGAUCAGCCACACUGGAACUGAGACACGGUCCAGACUCCUACGGGAGGCAGCAGUGGGGAAUAUUGGACAAUGGGCGCAAGCCUGAUCCAGCCAUACCGCGUGGGUGAAGAAGGCCUUCGGGUUGUAAAGCCCUUUUGUUGGGAAAGAAAAGCAGCAGGUUAAUACCCCGCUGUUCUGACGGUACCCAAAGAAUAAGCACCGGCUAACUUCGUG
rnacentral:rRNA from 1 species